GCGCAUGCAGGUGGUUUAGUUAAGUCAGAUGUAGAAACGGCCCGGGGCUACCAACCGUACGGAAUUGCUAGUUUAGAAACUGGCAGACUAGAGUACUGUAGAGGGGGUAGAAUUUCAGGUGUAGCGGUGAAAAUGCGUAGAGAUCUGAAGGAAUACCGGUGGCGAAGGCGGCCCCCUGGACAGAUACUGACACUCAGAUGCGAAAGCGUGGGGAGCAAACAGGAUUAGAUACCCUGGUAG
rnacentral:rRNA from 1 species